ACUGUGUUUUUUUCUUUUCAUAUCAGAUAUUUGCCCGGCUGAUAAAUUUAUAGGAAAGAUGUUUUAAAAAAACCUAGCUAAACUACAUACAUUUUAAAGACACAGCUCCCGAAGGAUCCAGCCAUUGGUCAUCAGUUUUGUAACCAUCGUAGAUUGAAAAUAAAAAAGGGCAGACUUCAAUAUUUUCAGCACCAUUAUCAAAAGCUAUGAAGUACAACUAUCAACAAACUUGAACAAACACAACCCUAUCGACCUAGAUGUACUGUGGUCUGCUGACAUUUUCAUUACUAUCGUUAAUAUUCAUUAGUAUUCAAUGAACUGAUUGGUAUGAAUGCAUUCAAAGAAGAAGGCCAAGCCUCGUUUUUAAAGUUACCAACCGACUACCCUGAGACUCCAAGACACACAGACAUCAAUCUGGUUAUUAUUCGUGCUCAUUUUAUGAGUGGCAAUUCGUGUUUGU